rnacentral:lncRNA from 12 species
GGACCUUUUAAGUCCUGGGGCUAAAAUUCUGCCUGGCUUACAAAGUGUAUUUGAUUUCUCUGCAAAAAAAAAAUGUGUCUUUUGUAACAAAUUUGAAUGUGUGCUAUUUGGCAUUUAAGUGUAGCUUCCCUGGCACUAAUGAUUCUUUUUACUUUUACUUUUACUUAAAGGACGUCCUUCUAAAUUUUGUAAGUCUCUACUCACUGGCAGCUGCCAGAGUUGAGGCAUUAACAAUAGCGAGAGAAUCUUUGCGGGCUCAUUUCGAACCUGAAGCAGCUGUUCUGCCUCCUGCUGCUGCUCCUGAUGAAUCUUUUUGGCUUCCCUUUACACCCCAAGGGACCAGUAAACCUCCUACUGCUGGUAAGUUUGCUUUUCAAGCAAUUAUAAUCAUUUGGAUGUGGGUUCCUAGCCAGCAGCUCCCUUCAUGCUGGACAGGUUCUGCAGGCAAAUAUAAAUACAGUUAAGUGUAAAGACAAUGGAGCAAUAAAAUUUGUGCUAACAGAAAUGUUCUGAGACAUUUUUCAGAAGAGAAAGCGGAUGGUCAAGUCUAAUACAGGGAUUAAAAUGUUUGUCAGAGAGAUUGUAGCCUAAGUUUGUUUUCUUGAUUAAAAAACCACACCCUAGGAAUUAUAAUGAUGAAUUAUAAUGAGGAUGGGUGUCCUGGUUUAGGGCAGAUUCUGGGACAAAACCACCAAAGGGGUCUCCUCUAGAAAGCAGG